rnacentral:rRNA from 1 species
UACGGGGGGAGCAAGCGUUGUUCGGAUUUACUGGGCGUAAAGGGCGCGUAGGCGGCCAGCACAAGUCAGUUGUGAAAUCUCCGGGCUUAACUCGGAAAGGUCAACUGAUACUGUGCGGCUAGAGUGCAGAAGGGGCAACUGGAAUUCUCGGUGUAGCGGUGAAAUGCGUAGAUAUCGAGAGGAACACCUGCGGCGAAGGCGGGUUGCUGGGCUGACACUGACGCUGAAGCGCGAAAGCCAGGGGAGCGAACGGG